rnacentral:rRNA from 1 species
UACGUAGGGUGCGAGCGUUGUCCGGAAUUACUGGGCGUAAAGAGCUCGUAGGUGGUUUGUCGCGUUGUUCGUGAAAACUCACAACUCAAUUGUGGGCGUGCGGGCGAUACGGGCAGACUGGAGUACUGCAGGGGAGACUGGAAUUCCUGGUGUAGCGGUGGAAUGCGCAGAUAUCAGGAGGAACACCGGUGGCGAAGGCGGGUCUCUGGGCAGUAACUGACGCUGAGGAGCGAAUGCGUGGGGAGCGAACAGG